rnacentral:rRNA from 1 species
GAUGAACGCUGGCGGCGUGCCUAAUACAUGCAAGUCGAGCGAACAGACGAGGAGCUUGCUCCUCUGACGUUAGCGGCGGACGGGUGAGUAACACGUGGAUAACCUCCCUAUAAGACUGGGAUAACUUCGGGAAACCGGAGCUAAUACCGGAUAAUAUAUUGAACCGCAUGGUUCAAUAGUUAAAGACGGUUUUGCUGUCACUUAUAGAUGGAUCCGCGCCGCAUUAGCUAGUUGGUAAGGUAACGGCUUACCAAGGCAACGAUGCGUAGCCGACCUGAGAGGGUGAUCGGCCACACUGGAACUGAGACACGGUCCAGACGCCUACGGGAGGCAGCAGUAGGGAAUCUUCCGCAAUGGGCGAAAGCUUGACGGAGCAACGCCGCGUGAGUGAUGAAGGUCUUCGGAUCGUAAAACUCUGUUAUUAGGGAAGAACAAAUGUGUAAGUAACUAUGCACGUCUUGACGGUACCUAAUCAGAAAGCCACGGCUAACUACGUG